rnacentral:tRNA from 2 species
UGGUGGCACGGUUCGCGCGGACGCACGGGCCGUUCGCGGCGGCCACCUGCGCGGCCCGGUUCGGUCUCGGGGUCUUCGUC